AAAGAGAGGUCCAAGAUCACUUAUUCAAAGGCAAAGUUUUACAAUUAAUUAUAUAAUUAGGAUGAAACUCCACAUUAAAAUUAUUAAAAAUAAUAUAUUAAAAAAAUUAAUACAUUAGAAAUUAAUACAUUAAAAAUUAAUUAGGGUGAAACUCCACAAGGGUAUCCCACAACUAAAGUGGAAUACCUAGCCAAUAACCUUUUCCUGGGAUAUGCGAACCUUUACGAAACUCAAAAAAAAAAAGAAACAUGUCAGAACACCAAAUCAGGGUGCAAUCGAAGAUUACACGAGAAAUAUCACAACAAUAAAUAGGAUAGGAUGAAUAAUGCAUGGCUAUGAUAAAACAUAAAAAAAAAAGAAUAGAAAAGUCAGCUACUGUCUCGUUCGCCUCUGCCUCGCCUAGCGAAGGCCAGGCGAAUACUCG
rnacentral:lncRNA from 1 species